UUACUUACCUGGCAGGGGAGAUACCAUGACCACAAAGUUGGUUUCCCUGGGGCGAGACUCAUCCAUUACACUCUGGAUGUGCUGACCCCUGCAAUUUCCCCAAAUGUGGGAAAUGACUGCCUAAUUUGUGGUAGUGGGGGACUGUGUUCAUGCUCUCCAC